AAACCAACAGGGAUUGCCCUAGUAACGGCGAGUGAAGCGGCAACAGCUCAAAUUUGAAAUCUGGCCUUCGGGUCCGAGUUGUAAUUUGUAGAGGAUGCUUUUGGCGCGGUGCCUUCCGAGUUCCCUGGAACGGGACGCCUUAGAGGGUGAGAGCCCCGUACGGUUGGACACCAAGCCUCUGUAAAGCUCCUUCGACGAGUCGAGUAGUUUGGGAAUGCUGCUCUAAAUGGGAGGUAAAUUUCUUCUAAAGCUAAAUAUUGGCCAGAGACCGAUAGCGCACAAGUAGAGUGAUCGAAAGAUGAAAAGCACUUUGAAAAGAGGGUUAAAUAGCACGUGAAAUUGUUGAAAGGGAAGCGUUUGCGACCAGACUUUUUCCUAGCGGAUCAUCCGGUGUUCUCACCGGUGCACUUUGCUAGGUUAAGGCCAGCAUCGGUUUCUGUAGGGGGAUAAAAGCUUGGGGAAUGUAGCUCCCUCGGGAGUGUUAUAGCCUCUUGCAUAAUACCCUUACGGGGACCGAGGACCGCGCUUUUGCAAGGAUGCUGGCGUAAUGGUUGUCAACGAC
rnacentral:rRNA from 3 species